UACGGAGGAUGCGAGCGUUAUCCGGAUUUAUUGGGUUUAAAGGGUGCGUAGGCGGAGUGCCAAGUCAGCGGUAAAAAUUCGGGGCUCAACCCCGUCGUGCCGUUGAAACUGGCGCCCUUGAGUGGGCGAGAAGUAUGCGGAAUGCGUGGUGUAGCGGUGAAAUGCAUAGAUAUCACGCAGAACCCCGAGUGCGAAGGCAGCAUACCGGCGCCCGACUGACGCUGAAGCACGAAAGCGUGGGUAUCGAACAGG
rnacentral:rRNA from 1 species